rnacentral:lncRNA from 1 species
GCCCUAGCACCUAUCUGGUUCAAGCCUUUUAUCCACAUUUACCACAAGCCAUCUCCUUUCCUGUUUUCACUCAUCUGUUCCACAAGCAGAUGUUGUGGUCGUGCCGGUGAAGAUUCGAAGGAUCUCCGAGAUGCGGUGGUGUUACCCAUGUCGUUCUUCUAUUCUUCCCCAAUCAUCAAUCGUGGACCCUUCGCCAAGCCCAAGGUAUACAAGUCAUUCUCAGAUUUUUCAAUCCUAUCGGCUGAAUUAGAACUCCUAUUAGUGGUUGUUAGUUCAAACCCCUUAUGCUAUUUCUGAUCAAUUCUAAGGAUUUACGUUGGCUCAAGAUCAGUUUUCUUCUUUAGGGAGAUACAAAUUUCAAAAACUUCCUCCUUUAUGGAGAGAUCACUUUCAAAACCGUCCUCCUUUAUGGAGAAACCAAUUUCGCAACCCUCCUCCAUCCCGGAGAGAAUGAUAUCACCACCAUGCUCCUCUUUGGAGCGAAUUAUUGAAAGCGACAAUGCGUUAACCGUAGAAGCCUUUUAUGACCAAAAGUUGGUCUUGGAUUUGUUGAAGGUUGGCUUCAAUUCUGAAUCCGUACAGGCAUCCAAAUAUAUUCCCGUCAUUGCAAGCUUUUCAGAGUUGAGCAUCUCAUUGAAAAAAUCUUCAAGCCUUUAUCUUUACUUUCCUUUAUCUCCUCUUUUGAGGAUUUGAUUUGAAUGCAACGGUUUGGAACAAAAAACUUUAUAGAGUUAUUAAAAACAACUAUAAAUCAUUUUAAAACAUCUUAAAAUUCUUAUAAAGUCUUUUAAUACACAUGUAAAUACUUUAAUCCUCAUUUUAAACAUUUGUAACUAUUUCAAAAUCUUUAUAAAUCGUUUAAAACCAUUGUAAAAGGUUUUAAAAUAAUUUACAAGAGCUUUUAAAGGAUUUACAGGAAAGCUCAACUCUGAAUAGCUUUUAAAAUCCUUUUGAAACUCUUAUAAAGUCUUUAAAAACAUUAGUAAAUCAUGUUUUAACUCUUAAAAAAUACAUUUUUAAAUAUUAUAAAACAUUUGUAAAUCUUUUUGAGACAUUUUAAAACUCUUGUCAACCCAUACAAAAAAGUUUUAAAGAGAUUUACAAGAGUUUUUCAAAGAUUUUUAAAGCAUUAAGGGUUUUAAAGGAUUAAAACCCUUGUAAAUCCUUUAAAAAUAUUUCAAAAACCCUAAUAAAUCUUUUCCGCUAAUUUCUCUUUGCGGGAAAAAUAUUUUGGCGGAAAAAUAUUUUUUUUGCGGGAAAUAUUGGCGGAGAAUUGUUUUUGGCGGGAAAAUUAUUUUUGGAAUAUUUUUGGUAGGAAAAUCAAAAUUUUAUUUUGUUAACCUAAAAAAGUUUUCAAAAUAGGAGUAAAAUGAUCAUUAAAAAUUAAACGAGGGUAUAAAUGAAAAGGCCAAUAGAAAGCGGCAUAAUUAAUAAGGAGUAGUCUUGGAAGGCAUAUCCUAGCAAUUAUCAAAAUGAUUUUAAAUACGAAUGAGCAGGAAACUUGAUUUAUGAGGCAUCCAAAAUAAAAAGUGGUAUCAAGUUUACUCUGGUUCUUUAUUUUAAAGAAUUAAAUCUUUAAAAUUGUCAAAAAAUUACAAAUAUUUAAACUUUAUUAAAAGUUAAACAUUAGAAAUUUCAAAUUAUUAGAAAGUUAAACUUUAUAAAAAAAUUAAAUAUUUAUAAUUAUAAAACUUUUAUUAAAUUUAAAAUAUUACAAAUAUUUAAACUUUAUAAGAAGUUUACAUAUUAUAAAUAUUUAAAUAUAUAAUAAUACGGGACGGUAUACUACGGGUGAAAUCCUAGAUAUAACAAUCAAAAUACAAUUAUAAAGUUUGGAUCGAUAUAAAAUUUUUUAGGUGAUUUUCUAAAGUACCAUUUUCUACUACCCUUUUGCAAUAAUACCCUUUUUUGUUGGCCAUUUUUAAAGACACCCUUUUUCUUGAACAAUAGUUCGAAAUUAUACAUUACCUAAUGAGAACAUAUAAUUAGAAACUGAAAUUUUUUCGUCAAAAAUUGUUUCCCGCCAAAAAAAUAAAAUUUCGUCAAAAAUGCAUUUAUAAAUCCUUGUAAAAUUUUUAAAAACCCUUUGAAACCUCUUAUAAAUCCUUUAAAACUCUUUAAAAAUCUUUGUACAAGUUUUAAAAAGCUUUGUAAAGUUGUUAAAAACCUAGGGGUGUCAAAUAGGUCAAAAUUCAUGGGUCAACUCAACCCAUGAACCCUAAUGAGUUGAAAUUUUUGACUCAAAUGAGUUGAUGGGUCAAAUGAGUUGAUGAGUCAAUUGGUUUGAUGAGUAAAAUGAGUUGGGUUGUAAUGGUUAAUGGUUUCAAUGGGUUACCCAAUUAACCCAUCAAGUUUUGUAAAAUUGAAUUAAACCAACUAAAAUCUCUAAACCAAUGCCAAUUUAAGUUUAACCAACACAUCUAAACCAAUUUAAUAAAAUUAAUAUUUUUCCAAAUUUCUUAAAUAUACAAGCGAUGAAAUUGAGAAAAAGUAAACUCGUAAUUUUUCCACAAAAAAACAUAAACCCGUGAUUUUCCCGCCAAAAACGUAAACCCGUGAUUUUCCCGCUAAAAACGUAAACCCGUGAUUUUCCCGCCAAAAACUUUAACACGUGAUUUUCCCGCCAAAAACGUAAAACCGUAAUUUUCCCACCAAAAACGUAAACCUAUAAUUUCCGCCAAAAACGUAAAUCCGUGAUUUUCCCGCCAAAACGUAAAUCCGUGAUUUUUCCACCAAAAACGUAAAUCCGUAAUUUUCCCGCCAAAAACGUAAACCGGUAAUUUUCCCGCCAAAAACGUAAACCUAUAAUUUUCCCGCCAAAAACGUAAACCCGUGAUUUUCCCGCCAAAAACGUAAACCAAUAAAAAGUGGAAUCCGUAAAUAUCCUAAGUUUGAUGAUAAUGAAUUAAUAAUGAUAAUUAUUUAUUAUUGUUUUAUAAUAAUAAUUAAUUAAAUUAUUACUUAAAUGGGUUAACCCAUUUAACAACUCAGUCCAUCAAAUUAAAUGAGUUAUGGUUGACCCAACUCAUUUAACAAAAUGAGUUGGGUCAACCAUAACUCAUUUAACCCUAAACUCAUUUGAUUAUGAGUUGAGUUGAGUUGGGUUACCCAUUUUGACAUCCCUAUAAAAACCCUUGUGAAUUUGCUAGUUUGAAAGUAUUUUGCAAACAUUUAUACCCGUCUUUAGGAGUCGUAAAUUAGUUGGACAAUUUCCAAUCCUUAUUCUUGUUCAUCUUACAAAGUCGUGUACUAUUUUCUAUAGAGUUGUUAUUGCUUUUUGUCGAUCAUCUAUUUGUUAUUGAUUCAAAUUAUUUCCAUAUAAAAAACUUUUAUAUUUAGACUGCUUAUUGAUCCCUAAGAUAUUUCUCAAGUCAUUUUGUUUACAAAUUGUAUUUUUUUCUUCUAAAAAUAAGCGAAUACAUAUAAUUUCAUAUAUCAAUUUAUGUUAAAUAAGAAUUGUCAUUUAUUUUACAAAUAAUAAUUAUAGAGUUUUAAAAGAUAGUAACUGGUUCAGUUUUGUAGAAUUGUAACCAAAUUGAUCUGAAAUUGGAGUCUUGUUUGUUUCGGUUCGGAAAAGCAAAUAUCUAGAAAUGUUUUCAUCAUUUCAUAAUUAUCGCAUCUAAAGAAUUAAACCAAACUAUAAACGUUAACCACAAAUGAGAAAUUGAAAAACAAAAAAAACAAACAUUUAGGUUUAAGUCGUUAAACAUAAUUUGUAGCAGUGAAAUUGAGCUAUCCGACUUGGCUUGAAUGAAAAUUCAACCAAAAAACACUUGGCAGAGUUGGUGUAAAAGGCAGCAAAAGGGAUUACUGAUUUUGUAUGAGAGGAAAGAAUGUAGAAUUUAACCGGAUCAAUGAUUUUUGUGAGAUGAAAGAAAAAGAAACAACAUAGAUCUAAGUUUUUUUUAUAUGAACAACUUCAUCAAACCAAUCGGUCUAAAUUAGGGUUUUAAUUUUUAAUAAAACAAAAAUCUGAACUUAUUUUAUACUUUGACCUCAUGGUUUUUGUCUACAUCAGUUUCGUAAAUCCGGUUAGAUAUUUCUUCUAAAUCCUAGCAAAAACUCUAAAAGAAAAAAUAAUUUUUCAUCAUCUAUGCUAAGUAAAUCAUUUUAGUUUAUUUUACUACACAAACACCAUGUCAUGUGCGUGACUUUCACAUUAUUAUCUUUUUUUUUUUUUUGUCAAGGACUUUCUUCAUUCAUUCAAUCAAACCCAAAGAGGGGUACAUAGGAUACAAAGUUUUGAAGCAUAAUCUUGCAAACAUACAAGAGAUGGAUAAGACAA